AUGAUGCACACACACCCACACCCAACCCACACACACACACACCCACGUUGGAUCCCAUCUCUCUCGUCUUCCUCGAUCCCCUUUCUCCAUCCCACGCCGCCGCCAGAUUCCGGCGAUCCCCGCGGUUCCCCACCACCUAGCUCUCCUCCCCGAGGUCACCUCUCCCCGCUCACCAGCUCCACUGACCGGUUUCUCUCCUCGCCCAGGAGAGCCACGCCCAGGCACUGGUGGUGGUGCACCGCGAGGAGGCCCCAGCGGCGUCGAGCUCCUGUUGCUGCGGGCACAGCGACGUCGGCGUGGUCAGGAUGGUCGCAGCCCUUCAAGAUUCUCAAUGGCUGCGUCCCGGCGCUGAUGGCGGAGUCGACGGCGAGCAUCGGCGGGUACAUGGCGUCGGGGUACCGGAGGGUGGCUGGCGUGCAGCUCUACAUCAACCACCUCAAGCCCGCCCGCCUCGGCGACCGCAUCGAGGCCAAGGCGAACCCCAUCCGGUACCUCGACCCCGACGCGUACUUGGACAAGACGGAGUAG
rnacentral:rRNA from 1 species